GAUUUUUAAUGGCUCCUCUCAAAGAUUAACAUCUCUUCACUAAAUACAGAAGAAUUCCAUAUGUAAUGAAUUUCCAGCCUCCAUGAAAACAAAAUGGACUCUUUCAUGCUGUCUCAACAUAUGAAUACAUUGCUCUGUCACCUGGGUGUUAUUACCGACUUAAAUCUGAAAGAAGCUGGGCACGGCAGUGGUGUGUGGGUGCCUGCAGUCCUGAGGAGCUGGGACUGUUUCCCGAACAAUGCCUUUCCACCACACACGGUGGUUGUGAGGGCCAGCUGAGGCAAAGCCCUCAGGAAGACCACUCAAGCCCAGGAGUCCAGCCUGCGCAAGACACUUUUUUUAGGCUUCUGUCACCACAAAAUGUUACUUGGAAAACUAGAUCCCAGCAGAUGACCUGUACUUCUCUGCUCUCUCCCCUACUGCAAAGAGGCAGUGAGGGCAGCAUUAGUAAGCCUGACUCAGGGGAAGGUAAGUGGCCUGCAGAGAAAUGGUCCUAGGUCCGCAACCGAGGCGAGUGAACUUGUCGGACAGAUGAAGACUCUAACUGGAAGAAACGAUCAGCGCAUUCACGGAUGCACCACCAUCCAGAAAUCUCCCGGUGGCUUCCAUACAAAAACUGAUGUUUCUAAAGAUGGAAAGAACAGGUCUAGGAGGCAGAAGAGUAUCUCCUAGCAAAGUGUUCUGUAGCUCAAAGGGUGAGUGGGCUUUGGUAGCAAAAAGCUUUGAAGGCUUCACCCUGGGUGAAUCUGACAAGGGCUGGAGCCAGACGGGACCUGCAGCACCUCCUCAGCUUGGCCUCGUCUCCCCUGACCCCGCCUCCGUGCAUGCUGCCUCAGUUUGCCUUCUCAGCAGAGAAGCCCCCACCACCAGGGGCUGGGCAUGCCCAGGGCAGGUGUGGGGCCUGUAGUGGGGCAGCAGCAACUGGUGGGUGCCCCUCUAGUGGGCGCUCAGCUCACAGCUGCUCAAAUGGGAACAGGUGGGAAGCUGCUGCUUUCUUUUCCCUUUUGGUCUUCUUGGGCCCACCCUUCAGCUUCUGCUUUUCUUCAUCUUCUCGGUUUUGAGGCCAGGAGGCAGCCAGUAUCCUGGCCGCUUCUGCUUGAGAGCUGGUCCCCUCCUCUUCAUCAGAAGAGAGUCCACCUCCUGCAUCUGUGUGGGGAGCUGCUGCCUCACUCUGGACAGGUGGCAGUGGUGGGAGGACACAGGCGAGGGUUAGUAAUCAGAUACCAGGAAGCCCCAUGAAGAGGCAGCAAGUUCCCAGCCUGCCCUAAGCUGUGUAACUCUGGGAGGACAAGGGCAUGGGACAGGGCAGGGAGAGAGCCCAGACCCUUCUUACUGAGCCGUCCCAGCCUGGGGUGCAUCCAAGCAGACACUGGAGCACCUGCUACGAGCUGAGUGCAGGGGAACACAAGGAUGAUGGCUGGGCAGGAAGCUGCCCUCUAGGAGCACACUGCCUCAUCUGGGGAUGCCUGUGAUUCGUGCCUUGCAUUUGCUACCUCAUUUCUGGACCAAAGCACAUGAUGUCUUGAACGGGCAAGAUGCACAGUUCAGCCCUCGGAGCCCUAAGAUCUGAGGCGGCACUCCCUGCCAGCUGGGAUGGCUAGGGAGGGUUUGGAUGGAGAAGGCGGCAAGGAGCUGGUCAGAACAUAAAGUCAGAUGAAGGGCUUUUCUCCACCAGAGGGACUGGAAUGAGGAGCGUGACAAAAAAAUGUUGAAAGGCAAACAGGCAGCACAGAGGGUUGGAGAGAGGGAACAAAACAUGCCAGAGCAGUUUCUGCUGUGUCUGACACAGCACUGACUAUACCAUGUAACUGGGCCUAGGGUCCAUCUGCCCCAGGGAGGGGCCCCCUUGAGGGCUGCAUGUCAAAUUCACACCUGUGUCCAAGCCUGGCCUGGCACAUGGCAGGUGCUGUGAGAGAGGUACUGAGCGGGCCACUGCAGGCCUGCAGCAUGGUCACAGGCACUGGGAACACUGGAAGGCGGAAGGGUGCACCAAAUGCAGGACACUUGGCCCUCCCUAUGUGUUCAGCGCCAAAUCAGACCCAUGGCAUUGCUCAUGUGGACAGUAGAAACGGGGACACUGGGACAGGGCUUGGGGCAGAAGAGCCAGCUGAGGCCUCACUCCAGGGACACCUUUCCCAACAAGGUAAAAACAAGCGGCCUUAGAGACAGAAGACUGAGGUGUCCUAACACAAAGCUAUCCCUGACUUGAGGCUGGGGCAGAAUCUGGGCCAGGCCUUUCUGAGCUGCAUCUCCAAGAAACUGACCCUGAGCUUGUCUUCUCUGCAAAGAACCUGCACUGACCUUGGGCCCGUAGCGACGCUUCAGCCUCUCCCUGAUGAGCAGACCUUUGGCCAGCAACUUCCAGUUCCCUAGAGCCCGCUUCUCCUUUUUCUGCAGGCAAAAAUGAAGUGGGAGAAAAGUGUUAAGCACUGACAUUUUCAGGAAAAAUAUUAAGAUGGAAACUGUGAAUGUAAAGACAGAUAUAUACACCACUUUAGAAUAUAGCCUCUCCUUCACACCAAGUCUCACUUCCAAAAAAUUGAUCUGAUUUACAAAGUGAUAUACUAUACCUGAAAGCCACAAAAACAGAUAACUUUUUAAUCGUUACUGACUCCAAAAUCUUUAGUGGGUGAGGUCUUCCAGAACCUGGACACAGGCAAUUCAAGACAGAGGCAGGUGUGGGCAGCAGGGGCAGUAGACCCCAGAGCCCGGACCCAGGCUCCUCAGGGACAGUGAUAGUCUGCGGGGUGGGCAGGAGCCUGCUGUAUUCAGUGCUCGCUCCCUCGGGUGCCUGCCAUGAUGUCAGAGAGGGCUGGGAAGAGCCUGGGAGCACACGGAGGCGGCCUGGGGAAGGAAGAGGCCACCCGCUGAGUGUUGCUUCCCGCUUCUGCUGUCCCUCAGUCCUGCAUAUGCGCUUACCUCCUUCUCCUUCCUUUCAAUGACUGCCUGCUCAUUUUCCCAGGCAGUCAGGAGCACGUCUUUGAAUUCCUCGCAGACGAUGUAUCCAUCAGUCCUGUGGGGACACAACGCGAUGUCAACCCUCGAACCUGCUGCCUGCUCUGCCUCUCCUCCCUCCCCAGUUUGUGGAAGACAGUGGGCCACAUCUGAGCACUAGGGGUCCUGAAGGAUGUCGCGGGUCAGCCAGUGUCCCACAUCCUCCGUGCAGAAGGCAGGCCUGUGGAAGCUGGCACUGCCUCUUCCUCCCCAGAUUCUGCCGAAGAAAGCUGGGGUGAAAGCCCCUAUCCAGCCUCACCCAUCAUGGAACAGAGCUCACUAACCAGGCAGCUGCCGGGGAAAGAUGCUGACUGUUUUUUGCUCACUAGCCUGUGAGUCCCUAAACCUGGGAAGAACGUUUUAAUCCAGCAUUACGAUGCCAGUUUCAUUGGCUCCGUUCCCUCUGGAGGGAAGCCAGAAUUGGUAAAGCACUGACUUUGCAAAUCCAGUGUAACAUCCUGAAAAUUGGAGCCACCAGGCCUCAACUCCCAGCAGCCCCAUGCCAGCUUUCCAUCCCCAUCUCUGGAGCCACCCCUCCCCAUCCCUGUGUUUAGCCUCCAUCGAAGGCCCCUCACGCACACGGGAUGGGAGUAGCCGCCAUGGAAAUCAAAGCCAGUGAUGGCCUGGACACAGUCGAUGUCCAGCUUGCGGGCCACGCGGUGUAGAUUGGGCAGGUUCAGCUGGACACAGCCAAUAGGCAUCAUGCUGGGCAGGAAGAGGUACACAUUCCCAAACUCGUUCCGGGGCACCUGUGUCGGGUGAGCAAGUCAGCAUUUGGCCAGCAGGGGAACAAGGCGGCCUGGUCCUGAGCCCUUCUGAUGCUGCCCUUACCUUCCCGUCCACGGCCACUGGGGGCUGAUACUCCUCUGUCUGCCAGUAGCCAAACAGGCCCAGGUCAUUUUCUUCCCGCAGCUGGGGCUCAGCAAGUCGGGCUUUCCGAGCACGGUUAGAAAAGCCUUUCACCAUCUGCACCAGAGGACACGGCCACCGUUUACAACAAAGGCAUCCAGUUCCUCAGCACCGGGCCAGGCACCAUGCUCAGUGCCGCAUGCCUGGUACCUGGUGAACCCUCAGAACACACCUACCAGCUGGGGUGCUUUUUCUCCCUUUUUUUUUUUUGAGACAGAGUCUCGCUCUGUCGCCCAGGCUGGAGUACAGUGGUGCAAUCUUGGCUCGCUGCAACCUCUGCCUCCUGGGUUUAAGCAAUUCUCCUGCCUCAGCCUCCUGAGUAGCUGGGAUUACAGGUGCCUGCCACCACGCCCGGCUAAUUUUUGUAUUUUUAGUAGAGACGGGGGUUUCACCAUGUUGGCCAGGCUGGUCUCGAACUCCUGACCUCAGGUGAUGCACUCGCCUCAACCUCCCAAAGGGCUGGGAUUACAGGCGUGAGCCACCGUGCCCGGCUGCUCCCCUUUUCUUACUACAAGCACUAGCUAACAUUUAUGGAACAUUCUCUGUCCCAGACACUAUUCUCGGUGUUUUUUGUUUUUUUAUCCCCCUGAGACGGAGUCUCACUCUGUUGCCCAGGCUGGAGUGCCCUGGUGUGAUCUCAGCUCACUACAACCUCCACCUCCCGGAUUCAAGUGAUUCUCGUGCCUGUCUCCUGAGUAGCUGGGACUACAGGUACCCGCCACCAUGCCCAGCUAAUUUUUAUAUUUUUGGUAGAGAUGGGGUGUCACCAUAUUGGCCUGGCUGGUCUCAAACUUCUGACCUCAAAUGAUCCACCUGCCUUGGCCUCCGAAAGUGCUGGAAUUACAGGCAUGAGCCACUGCGCCCAGCCUAUCUUCAGUGCUUUAUAUGUUAUUAUUUAAUUUUUUCAACAAACCCACAAGGUAGGUCUUAUUAUUGUUUCCAUUUUACAGAUGAACACCACAGACGGGGUAAAUGAUUUGCCUAAAGUCACACAGCUCGUAAGGGCCAGAGCCCACACUUUCAUCCACUAGCCUAUAUUCUGUGCUGUCAUCACUGAUAGCAGUGACUGAGACUGAGAGACAAAGUCACUUAAGAGCUGAUGGCUGGUAAGUGACAAGAACCAGGAUUUACAAUUCAGGUAACUGUCCAUCAGUAGAGCCUGUGUCUCAACAUAUAACCUAUGUCUGCUCACACGCCCUAGAAAGCACUGACAGUUCAGGACUCCCAGUGUGCUCCCCAACAGCGUGCAGUGGCCAAGGCCAAGAUCUUCCCUGGGGAGUGAAGUGGUGAGAGGGGCGCAGGACAGGCAAGGACAGAGUCACGUAACUCUUAGAGGAGUCAGGCAUGGGCGUGCGGCUGAGGGCUGGCCCCUGGGCCUCAGCAUACAGACUUCCUCUAGUGCAGGGGCCCACAAGCUUGUUCUGUAAAGGGUCAUGCGUG
rnacentral:lncRNA from 1 species